rnacentral:lncRNA from 1 species
CUGCUGAGCUCACCAGUUCCUUGCUCUGCACAGCUGCCUUCUCAGCUGGGGGUUUGAAAUCAGCACUGUGAGAAAAGACAGAAAUGACCAUGGUGCGUUUGCCUCACUCUGAGAAAAAGGCACUUGGAUGCUGAAAUCUUCUGCAGCUGUUCUGUGACCAUGAGGAAGCACAUAUGAGGAAACCCUAAGAGAAUUUCAGAAUGCCUGCUAUAACAUGCUAAAACUACUGAACCAGUGCCAGCUGUCUUCUCAAGGCUCCUUGCUAUGUCAGAAGAGUAAAUCAAUAUUUACUAAGUCAAUCUAUGUGUUACUUUUAGUUGGAAGCCUUUCCUAACUGAUGCCACAUGUAUAAAUAAUUUAGAAAGGUGUUUGAAAGUUGAGCAUUAUGUUACAAAAUAAAAUACUUAGCAAUAAAGACAAAAUACAAUUCUCUUCAGGAACUUUAUGGUAAACAUUUUAUAUGAUAAAGAAGUAAGCAUCAAGAAACUUGGUAAUAUUUGUCCAAGGUCUGAGAUCAAUUGCACUGGCAUAUUUCUUACUGGUUCUUGGUGUUCUUUUUCUCACAUGUAAAAUAAUAGAUUGCAUUACUUCUGAGUUCCACUGCAUGUCUAAACUUCUGACUAUAUUAGAACAAAGUGUAUUUUAAAUCUAUGGCUUUAUAAUACUACCUGUUGAAUAUUUGAAAAUUCAUAUUCCUUGGAUACUUUUUGUAUGAAAGAAGUCAUUGCAUUUUACUGUUCAUACUUAGGAUUCUAUACAUUCCAUAUUGAAAAUAAUGGGCUAUGAGUUCGAGUCCUUUGAUGUACCAUCAUCCACUCUAAAAAUAUAAUUUAUUACAUACUGAAAUUAGCAUAAAAUGAUAUUUGGAAACAUCUUUUAGGAAGAAUUUUCCCCAGAACACUCUAUACGAUAUCAUUAAUUCCUCCUCCUUUUGCUAGUACAAAAUUCAGGCAAAAUAAUUCCACUGACAUGAAGAUAUGUCUGACACAUUAGGUUUUCUAGCCCUUUGAUGACAUGUCUGUGCAAUUGUAUGAAAUUGGCAUAAAGAAGAUUCAUUGAUAUCAAGGAAAAUGUUCUCAAAUCGCUUUGGGGAGGCAAUAAAGUAUAACAAAUAAAAUGUUGCUAUACUAUUUAAAAGAAUAGGAACAAAUGUGAAUUAAAUGGGAAUUGACCAUAAAUAACUGAUUUCAAAGUCUAUUUUAUAUUUUCAUCUUUUUUUGCAAUAAUAUAAGGUUAUGCAAGCUGAUCAAAUGCCAGUGGCUCUAGCUAAGCCUUUUUUGGCCACAAUACGUUGACACUUAACUCCGAUUUGUAAUUUGGUUGAUGUUGGAAACUGAGAUGUGCAAAGAAGCUGUUACUGGAAAUGGAAAAGAAGUGAAACAGAGUCCAUACAGAAAGGAGAGAUUUGAUAGCAAGCAAAAGCUUUAAUGCAGAAAAUGAAAAUAAAAUGAUACGUGUAUAUUUAUAUGUGCAUGUUUUUGUGUGUGUGUGCAUAGGCAGGCAUAUGGAGUAAUUAGAGGAGAAUGAAAAUGCAUCAAUAUGGAGCUUGUUACUUGUGAUGAGAUGGUGAAACUAUCACAAAUUAUUAUUAGCACCUCUUGUUUUCCAGAGUAAUGUGCUGCCCAUGAACUGGAGAACUGAGCUGGUACUUAAAAAUAAGGGUUUCUUUCUUUCUUUAAAGCAACAACAUCUUUAGUUGUUGUUGUAAGUGUAAAACAAACAGGGAUGCUUUCCCUUUACAUGCUGGAAGCAGUCUUCCCUGUUGCCAAGGCAACAUCCUCAUGCUGCAAGGGUCACCUUUGGAAACAAUCGGAAGACUUCAAAAGCAGAUCAAUUGAGAAACACCAAGACCUGAACUUCCUAGAAAAUGGCUCCUAUUUUAAAUGCCAUUUUCCAACAGACACUUGCUUAUGUGAUUACUAUAUUCCAGGAAAAGAAGGCAAAACUGCAUAUGAACUAAGUCUAGUCCAAUAUUUUCAAGCUCUGCUCUUGGAAGCCUAUGCUUUAUAAGAAAGAUGUUUUGAAAGGGGGAAUGAGCAGAAUUUUCACUUAGACCAUGAACUGACAUUCAGAUUUGAAAAUAGAAGCUGCAGAUGAGACUUCAUUCGAAGAACAUUUCCACUCAUUUAAAAAAUACAGACUAUUCAUAUAAACACACUUGAUUAUACUUUGUCUAAAAUAACGAGAUUUUUAUUUUAAUUUCUGAGAAUGUUUUUGUGAUAUAUUAAAUUUGUGCAGAUUUUGUGUUAAUAAUGUAUAAUUGUGUUUAUUAAUUCAUUCUUUUAUCAAAUAUUUAUGAUUUCAUACUAUGAUUUGGAUACUACUCUGGAGGUGACUGCUUCCAAACAAUGGAAUCACUAGCAGGGGGAGAAUAGCAGGAUGACUGUAAUUCUUCCUGGGGAGAUGAGGAAAGGCUUUGGGGAAGUGAAAAAUCCUUUAUCUUAGCUUUUAAGAAUGGAUAGACAUUGAGCAGAGAGCCAGGGCUCGAUGGACAUUCUAAGACCUUAAGACCGAGGGAACAGCAAAGGCAAAGUGCAGAGAUAUGACGAGCAGAUUUCAUUGGUGUUCUUUUGAUUGAAGAUCAGGAUGUAUUUGAGUGUGUUUGAAGAUGAAGUUGGAAAAGGAAAGUAGGCCUGGAUUAUAAAAGUCCUCCUAUAGGAUGAAAACAUUUUAUACUUUUAGUUUUCCAGAAUUUUCCUUUAUAACUUUAGAUACAGCUAAUGGGAUUAUUUAAUGCUAUAAAAAUAGAGCUUUAACUAGUUUGCUAUUAUUUUCUCUUUUCCCCCUUCAUAAUCCAGAAUUAUUUACAAACAUCUUUGUGCUUUCAGAUGGCUUAAGGAAUUGAAACUUCUGUGACUGUUUAUUAUCUAAAGCAAGAAUUGUGAAAUCUAGAGAUAAACUCUCCUGCUAUUAAAACUCACAAUAGUAUUUGACUUAUUAAAAGACAAGUAAUGGAAUUUUAUAAUAGGAGCGAAGAUGACCUCCACUUUCAAGGUAUCUAGUAGAAUUAAGUUGUCAGUGGCAAGCAUUUUUUGAAAUCACAAAGCUUUAUUUUUGGCAGAAAUUCAAAAGUGACAAAUUCAGAUAGCUCUUCUGAUUAAUUGUUACAGUCCACACUGAAAUGCGCUUUCCUAAUUCUUUCUACAUGAGGGGCAAGAAUGAAAUUCUCUGUAAAAGGAAUUGUAGGGGGUGUGUAUAUUCGAGAGCUGAAGCUUUUUGGCAUCAUUUAGGUUAGCCAACUGUUCUAGCCUGCAUUUGCUGAAUAAAUUAGAUGCUCUGGGGAGAGUGUAUGCCGCUGAUUGGUCUGCCUUGUUACCAAGGCAACCAUUUUUCUCUCUGCUCUAUGACUCUGAAAGGGUUCAUAACCCAUUAGUACUCCUCUGGGCAGGAACAUAAGAAUUUUUCUUUUCUUUUAUUUAUUUAUUUUUUCCUUAAAAAAAAUUCCUUGUCAAGAUGAUGGGAAUUAAUUCAAUUCAAUAGAUACUCUUAUCAUAUUGUUUAUGGAGACGGUACAUUUUCCAAAUGUUUGAAAAACUGAGGGACAAACCUUACAGGCACAUAAAUAACAGCCAAGUGAAGGGAAUGCUAAUGAUAACUAAUAAAGAAACGGAUAAUAUUUUCAACCUCAAAUGGAGUUUGUCUAAGGCAAUAUAUGUAAAAGUACAGAUUCUCUGAAUUCAGUCCAAAAGGCAGCAAAUAAGAGGUUAUUUUCCUGAAUUAUUCCAGCUAUUAUUUCAAUCAGAGUUGUCUCAGUAUGCAGAGACAAGGGAAUAUGAAAGGGCAUCAAUUUAGCAGAGGCUUUGUCAGAUCCACCAAAGCAUAAAUUCAGGGGCUAAGUAAUCAUUUUCUGAAUGCCAAAGGGCUGAGGGAACUGUGGGCUGAUGGCUGACUGCACACUAUGGUAAUGCCAUCUGAAACCAACAUAGAUUUUCACCCACAAGUGAUAUUUAGACCUCAGCACAUUAGUUUUCUUCCAUUUUGCAAUCCAUAUUUGUCUUUCCUCUCCUCCUGUGCAUCCUGUCCCUUUGUAUUCCAACUCUUCAUGAAUAACAAGAAAAUCAGUAGACCUCCCAAACAGAUACAUUUUCCCAGCAUUUACCUUGUACCAGGAAUUUUGUGUUUUUCCAUUUACCUCAUUCCCCAUGUCAAAUCCACGUGAUAAGUCUCAUUUAUCCUGUGUUACAAUUAAGUAGACUGUGACGUAAGUGGUCGACUUAGCUUGCUGAAAGCAAUGGGGUUGGUAUUCAUAUUGAGUUCUAGCUCAUUCCAAAGCCGUGCUUUUCCACUGUACUACAGUGUCUCUACAGUUCUGUAAAAACGCUAACACUGUCCUUUCUGAACAUUGGAAUAUUGUUGCAUACAAAACCCAUAUGGAAUGUUAAAAUGUUCAAAUUAAACCUCUUGUUCUAUUACUUGGGAUUUCUUCAAAAGCAGAAUUCAAUUCCAAGGUCUGCCUAAUUCAGUACAGCGCUGAAAUUUUGUACAUAUUUAUUGAGGAAUGACUCCAUUAUACAUGGCGAUUCCUUUGAUACUUGUAGAAUUGCCUUUCUAUAAGUACUAGAGAGACUGAUUAAAAUGAUUUAGAUGCCUAUCUUGUAACUAUCUUACUUGUUCUUUUCAAUUGACCACCUCUAGGCUCUCAGUGAGAUUUUAGGCUUGUGUUUGGAUUAUAAACAAACCUUAAUGCAAUUAAAUUUACUCUAAUUUCUGGUUGUCUAC